GACCGCGUAGCUCAGUUGGCAGAACAUUGGACUAGUAAUCCAAAUGUCGUAGGUUCGAUUCCCAUCGUGGCCA
rnacentral:tRNA from 1 species